UACGUAGGGACCGAGCGUUGUCCGGAAUCAUUGGGCGUAAAGAGCGUGUAGGCGGCCAAUUAAGUCCUGCGUGAAAUCUCGGGCUCAACCCCGAGCGGUCGUGGGAAACUGGUUGGCUAGAGUGCGGGAGAGGAGAGUGGAAUUCCUGGUGUAGCGGUGAAAUGCGCAGAUAUCAGGAAGAACACCCGUGGCGAAGGCGGCUCUCUGGAACGCAACUGACGCUGAGACGCGAAAGCGUGGGGAGCAAACAGG
rnacentral:rRNA from 1 species